UACGGAGGGGGCUAGCGUUAAUCGGAAUUACUGGGCGUAAAGCGUACGCAGGCGGUUUUGUAAGAUAGAGGUGAAAGCCCGGGGCUCAACUCCGGAAUUGCCUUUAAGACUGCAUCGCUAGAAUUGUGGAGAGGUAAGUGGAAUUCCGAGUGUAGAGGUGAAAUUCGUAGAUAUUCGGAAGAACACCAGUGGCGAAGGCGACUUACUGGACACAUAUUGACGCUGAGGUGCGAAAGCGUGGGGAGCAAACAGG
rnacentral:rRNA from 1 species